AGAAGGAAGAGUAUCUUCGAAGAUUAAACUUUCGAUACCCACUCGUCGUUUUCAGUCGACUCGUGAGCGUCGUUCCGAACGUGCACCUGUUUCGAUUAUCUCGUUUACAUUAAAGCUUAUUUUCAUUCUCUCGCGUGACACUUUGAAAAAUCUGAUUUGUCGUUUGCCGAUCGAACUGGAAGAAAGGAAGAAACAUUUGCAAAUAUCAUCGACGGGAUUAACGUUAGAAUCAAUUGGAGUGAAUCAAAUCUGAGAUUAUUGAAGGAAAAUACACGGAGGAAAAAACGAGAAGGUCGAAGUUUAUAUUACCAAUUGAAGGAAGAAUAAUCAAAAAUGCAUAUCAGGAUAACAUUGUCACUUCUGGUGCUGUUUUGUGUUCUACUAAGACCGACAGUCAGUAUAAGUCGUCUUCUCGAUCCAAAUUUUAUCUACUUUCCUGAUCAAGCGGAAUACAUCUACAAAGCUGACAAAUGUCCGGAUAAUAUGAUCCUCUGGCCCGGAACCGGUAAAUGUUACAAAGAAGGUGAAAGAGGACCCUGCGAUGUCGGCCGAGUUAUAUUACUCGACAAACGAUUACUCAAACCCUACUGCAAGGAUAUUUUAUAGAAGAAAAUAUUCCUACAAGAAAUUGCAGCACUGGAGGAAAACCCCAAUUAUCGAUUGCUAGUCAGAAAAUUGUCUACGAAAAGUCCCUAGAUGACAAUACUAUUUCUGACAAAAAUCGUUUCCCCACGUAAACUUUUAAACGAGUUUCUCUUCGUAGAGUGACACCACUAAUAUUAAUUCUUCGAUAGCUCUCUUUUAACUUAAAAAUGUGCCAUUUUGUUAUUUAUUUAUUUCUUUUAUUUAAGUGAAUCAAUGAUAAAUUAUUCCAGAUACGAUGUAAAGUAAACCCAUUUAUUAUUUAUUUUUAAUGGAUCUGGUUGUAAUUACGAAUUGAUUUUACACAGUUCUUCGUUGAUUUUUUUUCAUUACAAAUGGAUUGAUCGAAGAUUCAAUCGUAUGAAAAGAAAAUGUAAUUGCAUUUGAAAAAAUCAGUGAUGUUUGUAAUAAAUUAGGAAGGAUAGCGUAGUUUUAGUAUUAAUCAUCUCAUUAUGAAAACUUGAA
rnacentral:lncRNA from 1 species